GGAGGUAUAGCUCAGUGGUAGAGCAUGUACUUAGCAUGCAUUAAGCCAUGGGUUCAAUCCCCAGAACCUCCA
rnacentral:tRNA from 1 species